rnacentral:rRNA from 1 species
UACAGGGGGUGCAAACGUUGCUCGGAAUCAUUGGGCGUAAAGCGCACGUAGGCGGUCUGUUAUGUCGGAUGUGAAAGCCCUCGGCUCAACUGAGGAAGUGCAUCCGAAACUGGCAGGCUAGAGUACCAAAGAGGGUCGCGGAAUUCCCGGUCGUAGAGGUGAAAUUCGUAGAUAUUCGCAAGAACACCAGUGGCGAAGGCGGCUCACUGGCCCGGUACUGACGCUGAGGUGCGAAAGCGUGGGGAGCAAACAGG